CGUCCCCUUCUUUAUGAUUUCCGACCAUUGACCGAUCACCGGUGGCCAAGUGCUCAAGGAAAGAGAGAGAGAUGAGGGUCCGGUCUCGGGGAUGAGAUGCCAAAAUCGAUGGCGUCGGUGGUCGGAAAAGAGAGAAACAUGGCCGGUCGAACAGGGGUUUCAUGCUUCAUAGGUUUUCUGGUGAUCCCGAUGGCCGGCGAGGGGUCUAAAAUCAAGGGGAGAAAGAAAAGAGGGAGAGGAAGGAA
rnacentral:lncRNA from 1 species